AUACGUAGGUGGCGAGCGUUAUCCGGAUUUAUUGGGUUUAAAGGGAGCGUAGGCCGUCAGGCAAGCGUGUUGUGAAAUGUCGUGGCUCAACCAUGGACUUGCAGCGCGAACUGCCCGACUUGAGUGCGCAGAAAGCAGGCGGAAUUUGUGGUGUAGCGGUGAAAUGCUUAGAUAUCACGAAGAACCCCGAUUGCGAAGGCAGCCUGCUGUAGCGCUACUGACGCUGAAGCUCGAAAGUGCGGGUAUCGAACAGGAUUAGAUACCCUGGUAGUCCGCACGGUAAACGAUGGAUGCCCGCUGUUCGGUUUUCGGACCGAGCGGCUAAGUGAAAACGUUAAGCAUCCCACCUGGGGAGUACGCCGGCAACGGUGAA
rnacentral:rRNA from 1 species